GACUCUCGGCAACGGAUAUCUCGGCUCUCGCAUCGAUGAAGAACGUAGAGAAAUGCGAUACCUGGUGUGAAUUGUAGAAUCCCGCGAACCAUCGAGUCUUUGAACGCAAGUUGCGCCCGAGGCCACUCGGCCGAGGGCACGCCUGCCUGGGCGUCA
rnacentral:rRNA from 2 species